AUGGAGGCGGGCGCCGGGGCCGGCGCGGGCGCCUCGGGCUGGAGCUGCCCGGGCCCAGGACCCACAGUGACCACUUUAGGCUCCUAUGAGGUGUCGGAGGGUUGUGAGAGGAAGAAGGGCCAACGCUGGGGGUCUUUGGAACGGCGGGGGAUGCAAGCUAUGGAGGGGGAAGUGUUACUCCCAGCUCUCUACGAGGAGGAAGAGGAGGAGGAGGAGGAAGAAGAGAUGGAAGAAGAGGAUGAUCCAGGGCAGAAAGGCGGCAACGCAGGCUCCCUGUCGGUUAGCAAGCACCGAGGCCUGAGCCUCACGGAGACGGAGCUGGAGGAGCUGAGGGCUCAGGUGCUGCGGCUGGUGGCAGAACUGGAGGAGACCCGGGAGCUGGCAGGGCAGCACGAAGAUGACUCUCUGGAGCUGCAGGGGCUCCUGGAGGACGAGCGGCUGGCCAGCGCCCAGCAGGCAGAGGUGUUCACUAAGCAGAUCCAGCAGCUCCAGGGUGAGCUGCGGUCCCUGCGGGAGGAAAUUUCCCUGUUAGAGCGUGAAAAAGAAUGUGAACUUAAGGAAAUAGAACAGGAGUUGCAUUUAGCCCGGGCUGAGAUCCAGACUCUGCGGCAAGCAGCGGAGGACUCCGCGACUGAACACGACAGUGACAUAGCCUCCCUGCAGGAGGACAUCUGCCGGAUGCAGAAUGAACUCGAGGACAUGGACCGAAUCCGAGGAGAGUAUGAGAUGGAGAUCACCUCCCUCCGUGCAGAAAUAGACAUGAAGAACUCUGACCCUUCCAAUAGUUUCAGUCUCUCAGAUUUCUCUGAGAUGCAAGAAGAGUUGCAGCAACUGCGGGAACGCUACCACUUCCUGAACGAGGAGUACCGGGCCCUGCAGGAGAGCAACAGCAGCCUCACAGGGCAGCUUGCAGAUCUGGAGAGUGAGAGGACACGAAGAGCAACAGAAAGAUGGCUGGAGUCCCAAACGCUACGGACUAUGAGGUCAGCAGAGUCUCAGACCUCAGAAGAGGAUUUCCUGGAGCCCGAUCCUGGAAUGCAUUUGUUGCGGCAGCAGCUACUGGGAGCCAAGGAGCAGAUGCAUGACAUGCAGAGCAAGUGUAAGAAAUUGACUUGUGAGUUGCAAGAGCUACAUCACCAUCGCCGGACCAGUGAGGAGGAGCAGAAGCGGCUGCAGAGGGAGCUAAAGUGUGCACAGAAUGAGGUGCUUCGGUUUCAGACGUCCCACAGCGUCACCCAGUCAUCCCCCACCCCCGAUCCCCCCAUCUUCUCCUUGCCUCUCGUAGGCCUGGUGGUCAUAUCGGCUUUGCUCUGGUGCUGGUGGGCCGAGACGUCGUCCUAAUGCAGAACAUGUUUGGGAUGUGGAAGCCUGUGGUGUUCUUGGCUCUUGCAGCUGUGGCUCUGUAUGUGUUACCCAACAUGCGACCGCAGGAGACAGAGUUCUGCCUCAUGGAGUGAUGGCAGGCCCGGGCCAGCCAAGGGGGCAGACUCCC
rnacentral:lncRNA from 1 species